rnacentral:lncRNA from 1 species
GAGCUCCGCGAUCUGACCCUUGGUGAUCCGACCCGUUACCUUGUUUGAGUAAGUGGCUAGGUAGUUGUCGGGAGGAAGCGUGAUUUUGCAUGUGCCGUGGAGGAAGAGGGAGAAGUCGCCGGAGGUUUUGUUGAUGUAGUAGUCCUUGACGGAUAGAGGGAGGAGACCAAUCGGGAAACCGUGAUGAGUGAGCUCCGCGUGAGCUUGAGUCGGUGCUUUGGGGCUUGGAUCUUGUAGGGAGAGAGGUAAGAGGAUGAGGAAAGAGAGAAGGAAGAGAGAUAUUUUCAUGUUCGUUCGCUACGGAGAAAACAAAGCUUCCAAACCGUAGAAGUGUUGCAGAGUUAUCUGUUUUUAAUUGACUUUUCAGUUUCGGAAACUUGGUUUUGUCGUUUUUGUUGACUUUUUAAACCUUGUUUAUAUAUAUACAGCACUAUUAAAUUUUGUGAAAAUAAUUUUUAUAAUCUACACAGAUUUUUAAUUGGAAAGGUUAAUUAUGAGAUGAUCCUCUAAUUAAGUUCGAGGACAUAUAUUUGAACAAAAAAAAAAAGUUAGGACAUAUAUAUUUUUUGUUUGUAACUAUUUUCACAAAAGUUUGUUUUUUUGAAUUUUCCAAGUUAAACUUGAUCUAUCAUUCCAAGCAUAACGAAUUUUCACCUUACAUAAUUAAUGUAUACUGCUUUUGAGAUAAAAAAAACCGUGACAAAUGCAAGUAAAAUCUUACUGUGUUUUUUCUAAACGGCUGACUGGAUAAACAUUAUUGCAUAAACAAUUAAGGACCAAGGUUUAUUAUUUGAACUUUUAAAUUCACCUCUCUUUCGAACGAUAAUCAAAGUGUCACAUAGAUAAUUAAUUAAAAAUUAUUAAACUUAUUUAAAAAUAAUUUAAAAAAAUAACGCCAAUUUUAACGAUGAUGACGCCGCUAGUAGCUUUCACUGGUUGCUUCUGGCUUCACAGAUCUGCACGCAAUGUAGACAAGAACCACUAUUUAAUAACAAAAGCAAACCAUGCAAGCACUGAAAAUGUUUGAGACCUAGUGAAAGCAAACUACAUAAACAUUUAGUUUCUAACAAGACCGUAACAACUAAAGGAUCUUAACUUUACAACAGUCGAAGAAAGUUAUAACCUUUACCUCAUGAAUUGAAUCAAGAAGAGGAUCCAACAUUUGUAUACAUUACCAAACUAGCAACUAGAUUAUCAUUACCUAGCUCACUUUUAAAUGUCCUAAACUCAUAAAAAUACAAAAACAAAUAAAGAAAGUUAUAACCUUUAACCUCUUGAAACUGAAUCAAGAAGAAGACCGUUUCCCUUCACAAUCAAGACUCUCGUCGAAAUUCUUCGAAGGGUAUUUAGCGGUAACGACGCCGACCUCGAAGACAAGGUUAUCACCGGAGGAUCGAAUCCCGGUGAUGGACCACCACUGGAAAAACGCCCUGACCCGAAUCCCACGGAGCUCCGCGAUCUGACCCUUGGUGAUCCGACCCGUUACCUUGUUUGAGUAAGUGGCUAGGUAGUUGUCGGGAGGAAGCGUGAUUUUGCAUGUGCCGUGGAGGAAGAGGGAGAAGUCGCCGGAGGUUUUGUUGAUGUAGUAGUCCUUGACGGAUAGAGGGAGGAGACCAAUCGGGAAACCGUGAUGAGUGAGCUCCGCGUGAGCUUGAGUCGGUGCUUUGGGGCUUGGAUCUUGUAGGGAGAGAGGUAAGAGGAUGAGGAAAGAGAGAAGGAAGAGAGAUAUUUUCAUGUUCGUUCGCUACGGAGAAAACAAAGCUUCCAAACCGUAGAAGUGUUGCAGAGUUAUCUGUUUUUAAUUGACUUUUCAGUUUCGGAAACUUGGU